GUAGGGUGCGAGCGUUAAUCGGAAUUACUGGGCGUAAAGUGUGCGCAGGCGGCCGCGCAAGUCGAGUGUGAAAGCCCCGGGCUUAACUUGGGAAUUGCGCUCGAAACUACGUGGCUGGAGUGUGGCAGAGGAAGGUGGAAUUCCAGGUGUAGCGGUGAAAUGCGUAGAGAUCUGGAGGAACACCGAUGGCGAAGGCAGCCUUCUGGGCCAACACUGACGCUCAUGCACGAAAGCGUGGGGAGCAAACAGGAUUAGAUACCCUGGUAGUCCACGCCCUAAACGAUGAUGACUAGUUGUUGGAGGAGUUAAAUCCUUUAGUAACGCAGCUAACGCGUGAAGUCAUCCGCCUGGGGAGUACGGUCGCAAGAUUA
rnacentral:rRNA from 1 species